rnacentral:rRNA from 1 species
GGUAGCGAAAUUCCUUGUCGGGUAAGUUCCGACCUGCACGAAUGGCGUAAUGAUGGCCAGGCUGUCUCCACCCGAGACUCAGUGAAAUUGAACUCGCUGUGAAGAUGCAGUGUACCCGCGGCAAGACGGAAAGACCCCGUGAACCUUUACUAUAGCUUGACACUGAACAUUGAGCCUUGAUGUGUAGGAUAGGUGGGAGGCUUUGAAGUGUGGACGCCAGUCUGCAUGGAGCCGACCUUGAAAUACCACCCUUUAAUGUUUGAUGUUCUAACGUUGACCCGUAAUCCGGGUUGCGGACAGUGUCUGGUGGGUAGUUUGACUGGGGCGGUCUCCUCCUAAAGAGUAACGGAGGAGCACGAAGGUUGGCUAAUCCUGGUCGGACAUCAGGAGGUUAGUGCAAUGGCAUAAGCCAGCUUGACUGCGAGCGUGACGGCGCGAGCAGGUGCGAAAGCAGGUCAUAGUGAUCCGGUGGUUCUGAAUGGAAGGGCCAUCGCUCAACGGAUAAAAGGUACUCCGGGGAUAACAGGCUGAUACCGCCCAAGAGUUCAUAUCGACGGCGGUGUUUGGCACCUCGAUGUCGGCUCAUCACAUCCUGGGGCUGAAGUAGGUCCCAAGGGUAUGGCUGUUCGCCAUUUAAAGUGGUACGCGAGCUGGGUUUAGAACGUCGUGAGACAGUUCGGUCCCUAUCUGCCGUGGGCGCUGGAGAACUGAGGGGGGCUGCUCCUAGUACGAGAGGACCGGAGUGGACGCAUCACUGGUGUUCGGGUUGUCAUGCCAAUGGCACUGCCCGGUAGCUAAAUGCGGAAGAGAUAAGUGCUGAAAGCAUCUAAGCACGAAACUUGCCCCGAGAUGAGUUCUCCCUGACUCCUUGAGAGUCCUGAAGGAACGUUGAAG